GCCGCAGUCCCUUCCCUCCUACUCUGCCUGCUUCUGUUGGCGUCACCUCUGCCAGCUUCUCUUCGGUUUCCUGCGCCUGCCGCCUUCAGGUCCCGAGCUGCUGCCUGCCUUCUCCGACCCCUGCCACGAGGUAACGCGUCCCGGACCGAGCCCCUGUGGGUGUGGCCCGGGAUCGCUUGCGCCCGGUCGCCCUGUCGCCGCACUUUGGUUUCCUCCCACGCCCACCUCCGCAUUUCGGCCUCCUCCCGCAGCCCCUAUAACUCCCUACCCCCCAAGUGCCCGGCACUCAAAGCCCUGGGAACUUAUCACAAUGUCAGAGGCGGCGGGAAAUCUCAAUAGCCUCCGCUUGGCGAAUGUGGCCCUGAGAGAGGAGUUAAAUGCCCUUCGAGGAGAGAAUGUCCAACUGGGCCUGCAGCUCGGAAGAGCCUUGGCCGAGGUUAAUUCCUUGCGGGGCAAUGUCUCAAGCUAUGUCCGCUGGCCAGUGCCCAUAGUGCCGGUCCUUGCCGAGGAGAACUUUGAGUUUCUGCUCAAUGAG
rnacentral:lncRNA from 1 species